ensembl:lncRNA
CCUCCUUAGAUUUAAUCUAAAUCUCCUAUCUUUUAGUUUAAAACUAUUCCCCUUAGUCUUAUAGCUAUCUGCCUGUGUAAAAAGUCAGUCUCACUCCUGUUUGUAAGUCCCCUUUAAGUAUCAAAAGGUUGCAAUGAAGUCUCCAAAACUUUGCCUUCUCCAGACUAAACAAGCUCAGAACCCUCAGCUUCUCUUCUCUUCUCUUGUCAUUUUUCUUUUUUCCCUCCAUUUUUAAAGAAAAUGAAACUCCUUGACUGAACACCUUCCUCUCCAGUCAGCAUCAUGUUUUCUCAAGUUACUGUAUGGGAACCGUUGAAUCACGGCCUGAACCUCUGAUUGACCACCUGAGGUGAGCACUGAGUCAGCCGCAGAGGCACAGGUGAAGGCAAUUUCACCUGAGUGACAGGAAGGGGGGGGGGAGGAGCCAGGCUCCACCCCUCCUAGACCCCAUUUAAGGGCUGACUUCCAAGGAGGAAGGCUCUCUCUCUGGAAAUCACUCCUUUUGAAGCCCUCUGGGACAUGGUGAGAGUUUCUGCAAAGCUGUGAAAGGCACCGGGCAAGUGUCAGCCCUCGUAAUUCUGCGACCUCCGCGCUCAAACACUGCCGCCGACUCGGGAGCUCGGAGGGAGGGGAGGAAGGUGAAGGGAUCACAGCAGAACUGCACCAGAGCAGCGGGACACUUUAGUGAGAUGAAAGGUCAACGCGGGCUUAGCGCUGUUGUGGUGUCAUUUCCUCUGUUUGUCCCUUGGUGGAGUUCUUGAGUUACUUUCUCCCUUCAGCCAAACGGUUUUAACUGCUUUCUAUGGGGGUUUUGUCGUCGUUUUUCUCCCGCGUUCGAAUUUGCUGUCAUGUUUACUGUAUUUAACCUUUUCCUCGUAUUAUUAUGAAUAUGUUAUUUCCCAGCUCACCUGAUUUUUUUCCCCCUUCUUUGGUGCGCGUGCGUGUGUGGGCACAAACUAAUAAUACGCAUUGAUUAACGCACAAAGCUAUAUAAAUGAUUAAAUAACCCUUCUCUUGAGGUUGGCUCCCACUGCAGACCAGAAAGGUAACUCUCUGGUCAGAGGCACCGACAUUCCCGAACUGCAGAACCGAACCGUUCCGGGCUGAAGGCGGAGGGAGCAGGGACCGCCGGGACAUAGCCGAACAAACACUAAUGGCAUCUGCAUAUCUCAGCCGUGACCCCGUCUUUCCAAUCACUACCACAGUAGGAAAGCCCCGUUGCAGAGCUUCGAAAAGCAGCGCUGGGGGGUGCAGAGGAGCUGGGGAAGCUCCCAGCCUGCUUUAGGAUUCCCCCACGUACAGCAGGCUGCGAAUGUCAGCAAGACGGAUUCCUUCCCACACGCACGAUGCCACCUCCGUGGCCUUAUCAGAUGUUCCCUUUAAGGACACAAGCUCUUAUUUCCCCUCUGUAUAUCUCCGGCAUCUCGGGCUAUUUUAUUUAUUACAGCCGAUUACGCUGGCGAUCCCGCUUCCCACUUGAUCUCACCAGAUCAGGAGGACAAACGUCUGAGCGCGUGUGGGCGUCUGUGCGCAUCGGGUGGGCAGGGGGGGCUGUGCUGCGCAACAGCUUUGCCCGGCUGGUUGUGGGGGGAGCCCUCCCCCGCCCGCAGCCGCUGGGACCGGCUCUCCGCGGGGCCGGGGGGUGGCUGGGCUUCCCUUCCCCCCCACUUCCCCAGCACGAAACGAAGCAGCGGGAUGCGGGGGGAGGGGGGAAGGGGGCAGGCCAGCCCUGGCCCCCUCCCGGCAGCCGCGACACGUGGAGCCGGAGCGACACUGCCAUCCACCAUGCAGUGCACGUCGGGCCCAUUUCCCACGCCGUUUGCCUGCCCUGGGGGAAGAAAAGGAGGAGGGGGAGGAAGGGGGAAUGAUGGAGAAGAGGGGGGGAGCCGUUACCUCUGCUCCGAAAGAGGAACCAAUCCACUGUGAAGGACGAGGCACUCCCGAGCAGGAAAGACAUUGCACAUUCAGAGAGAGAUUGCAUGUGAAGACACUGCAAAGGGGAGAGAAGGGGAGGGGGGCCGGGGGCAGCCCGAGUGUGAAAGGCGCAGUGUGUGUACGGAGGCCGGGAGUGGGGCGGGGGGCAGGGGGGGUGGGGGUGGGGAGGGGGAAGGGUGACACUACACAUGGCAAGAGAAAGAGAUCACUCAUUCGCUUGGAAAACGCUCUCGCAAAGCAAACCGCGGUGGUAGACAUGGGGGACAGCGGGGAAGAUGCCACGGUCAGGAGGAGCCCGCACCGUGCAACAGUUCGGAAUCCGAUUAAAG